rnacentral:rRNA from 1 species
CGCAGCCGCGGUAAUUCCAGCUCCAAUAGCGUAUAUUAAAGUUGUUGCAGUUAAAAAGCUCGUAGUUGAAUUUCGGGACCAAUACAUCGGUCGUGCUUUCGGGUACGCACUGUCGUUAUUGGUUUCUACCUUCUGACGAACCAUGAUGUCAUUAAUUUGGUGUUUUGGAGAGUUAGGACUGUUACUUUGAAAAAUUAGAGUGUUUAAAGCAGGCAUUAGCUUGAAUACAUUAGCAUGGAAUAAUGAAAUAGGACGUUCGANCCUUAUUUUGUUGGUUUCUAGGAUCAACGUAAUGAUUAA